UUGUUGGAAAUCUUCUUCGUGCCGGCGCAGUUGAUCUUGCCCGACUCGAUGAUUUUCGGUAUGUACCCUACGAAGGCUUGGCAGCGGAGGUGGGAAGAAUUCAAGAGGUGAAGGCUGCGUUUUUUGAACGGUUCUGGGAAUCUUCUGGCAAAGUUGCAGUUCGGACUCUGGCUGCCGCUGCUGCUGGGGAGGCGACCCCUGAUCGGCCUUCGGGGAUCGACGGGACGCCCGAGGACAGCAGGACUCCUUCGGGACACGAUGGGAACGUAUCGCCGAGGGCUCAGGUCUAAAGAUUAGCUUGUGGGGAUUUGUUUUGAGGACUUGGAUUUUUUUGUAAAUAUUCCCAUACUGCAGGACGCAAACAGUGCUAGGGUAUUGAUGAGCUGGGAGGCUUUCAGCCUUGCUCAUCCUGGAUGCAGCGUUGCAGAGUACUUAUGCUGGUCUGGUCGUGAUUCAUUGUAACUUUUGUUUUGUUGUCUGAAUGCUACCUUCGCGAAGCUUUUCAAAGUGUAUAAUAUUCUUUCUAGGCCUA